rnacentral:snRNA from 1 species
GUGCUCACUUUGGCAGCACAAAUAUUUUAAAAAAAAAAAAAGAUGCAGAGAAGAUUAGCAUUGGCCCCUGUGUAAGGAUGACACAUAAACUAGUGAAGAUUCUGUGU